GACGAACGCUGGCGGCGUGCUUAACACAUGCAAGUCGAGCGGAAAGGCCCUUCGGGGUACUCGAGCGGCGAACGGGUGAGUAACACGUGAGCAACCUGCCCCUGGCUCUGGGAUAGCCUCCGGAAACGGGGAUUAAUACCGGACAUUCACUCUUCUGGGCAUCCUAGAGGGUGGAAAGUUUUUUCGGCCAGGGAGGGGCUCGCGGCCUAUCAGCUUGUUGGCGGGGUAACGGCCCACCAAGGCGACGACGGGUAGCCGGCCUGAGAGGGCGACCGGC
rnacentral:rRNA from 1 species